GGGAGCUUGGCUCAGUUGGAAGAGCGUCAGUCUCAUACUCUGUAUGAUCCAGCUAAACGUUGGAGUAAUCUGAAGGUCGUGAGUUCGAGCCUCACAGUUCCCA